rnacentral:lncRNA from 1 species
CAGGAAGCUGGACCGGAAGUGGAGCAUCCGGGACCCGAACCAGCGCCCAUAAGGGAUGCCGGCACUGGAGGCGGCGGCGGCGGCUUCACCCGCCAAGCCACAGCCCCGGCCCCCAGACUGGCGGAUUCUAACCCCACAAAGGCGCCGCAACGGAUCCACCGCGGCGGGACUACACCGUUUCCUGCCAGGUCAGGGCAGUUGGCCCUUAGCGUGUCCCCCGGCUACGACCUAGCAAGGACCCAGCAGGACCCCAGCAAAGUCCUCGCUGGCGCUGGGCCCCCGUGGGCCUGGGCCGUGGAGUCGGAGUUCAGGCGCACGAUUCCAGCCAAGACUCUUUCCCGCGUACGUGGGCGGGAGGGGUGGAAGCUGGCUGGCUGCCCACGCCGAGUUUUCGGAGAGCCACGCCCUCCCAAUCUCUCAAAUUUCCCGGGCGCCACGCCCCCUCGGCUCCCGGCGCGCCCGCUCCGAGCCGUCGCGCCGGAAGUGACCUCACGACGGCGGCGUGGAGACGCGAGGGCGCUUCCGGCGGCAGCGGCGGCCGUGGGGGUGGGUGUGGAGAAGCCCCCGCGGCGAGUCCUUUCCGAGCUGAGUUGCCCGCUUGGCGUGCUGCGCGGAGGAGGCCGAGCCCGGACGGCGCGGAGGUGGGAGCGAGGGGCGGCGGCUGCCGUGUGGGUGCUCGUGGGACGGCGCUUCCGGGGCUGCGCGCCGUGGAGACCUUGCGUGCGGUGGCGCGAGCCGGGGGCGGCCCCGGGUUUGGGUGGGCUGGGAGGCGUGAGGCGUGAGCGGCCUGGGCUCGCUCCGCGCCUCGGUGUGUCCUCUGGCUCGGGGGGAGGCGGGGAGCAGCGCGAGCGUGCUCGUGACCGUCGACCCGCGGUGACCUCGCGGGUGGAAGUGUGUGGGUGCGUGGGAGGCGUGGCGCUCGCCGGCCUGGCCUGUGGGUCCGCCCCGGGUUCCGCGGCGCCGAGCCCUCGCGCGGCCGCAGGUGAGGAACGCCCCGGCCGCAGGGAGUCUGCUGUUUGCCAAAGCCGGUGUUCAUCCCCCCGGGACAGCGGCGCCUUUCGCCUGGGAACUUCGUGUGUGUUUUUUUUUUUCAAUUGA